UACGAAGGGGGCUAGCGUUGUUCGGAAUCACUGGGCGUAAAGCGCACGUAGGCGGAUGUGUCAGUCAGGGGUGAAAUCCCGGGGCUCAACCUCGGAACUGCCUCUGAUACAGCACAUCUUGAGUCCGGAAGAGGUGGGUGGAAUUCCUAGUGUAGAGGUGAAAUUCGUAGAUAUUAGGAAGAACACCGAUGGCGAAGGCGGCCCACUGGUCCGGUACUGACGCUGAGGAGCGAAAGCGUGGGGAGCGAACAGG
rnacentral:rRNA from 1 species